rnacentral:rRNA from 1 species
GCCGGCGACCAUACCACGUUGAAAGCACCGGUUCUCGUCCGAUCACCGCAGUUAAGCAACGUUGGACCCGGUCAGUAGCCCCCA